rnacentral:rRNA from 1 species
AUUGUAACGAACGAUGCUAAUACCGCAUAACAAUAAAAGCCGCAUGGCUUUUAUUUGAAAGAUGGCUUUGGCUAUCACUCUGGGAUGGACCUGCGGUGCAUUAGCUAGUUGGUAAGGUAACGGCUUACCAAGGCGAUGAUGCAUAGCCGAGUUGAGAGACUGAUCGGCCACAAUGGAACUGAGACACGGUCCAUACUCCUACGGGAGGCAGCAG